CUAAUAACCUGAUAAGAAAGAAACUACGCAUGAGAGAAAAUACGAAAGUCGGAGCAAUCUGACACUAUAAGAUGGCUUUGCGGUGCAUUAGCUAGUUGGUAGGGUAAAAGCCUACCAAGGCGACGAUGCAUAGCCGACCUGAGAGGGUGAUCGGCCACAUUGGGACUGAGACACGGCCCAGACUCCUACGGGAGGCAGCAGU
rnacentral:rRNA from 1 species